rnacentral:rRNA from 1 species
GUGCCGCAGCCGCGGUAAUACGGAGGGUGCGAGCGUUAAUCGGAAUUACUGGGCGUAAAGCGCAUGCAGGUGGUUUGUUAAGUCAGAUGUGAAAGCCCGGGGCUCAACCUCGGAAUUGCAUUUGAAACUGGCAGGCUAGAGUACUGUAGAGGGGGGUAGAACUUCAGGUGUAGCGGUGAAAUGCGUAGAGAUCUGAAGGAAUACCGGUGGCGAAGGCGGCCCCCUGGACAGAUACUGACACUCAGAUGCGAAAGCGUGGGGAGCAAACAGG